UAUUGGACAAUGGGGGGCACCCUGACCGAGCAACGCCGCGUGAAGGAAGAAGUAAUUCGUUCUGUAAACUUCUGUUAUGAAGGAAGAAAGACGGAUGGAGGAAAUGACAUCCGAGUGACGGUACUUUAUGAGAAAGCAACGGCUAACUACGUGCUAUCAGCCGCGGUAAUACGUAGGUGGCAAGCGUUAUCCGGAAUUAUUGGGCGUAAAGAGGGAGCAGGCGGCAGCAAAGGUCUGUGGUGAAAGACUGAAGCUUAACUUCAGUAAGCCAUAGAAACCGGGCAGCUAGAGUGCAGGAGAGGAUCGUGGAAUUCCAUGUGUAGCGGUGAAAUGCGUAGAUAUAUGGAGGAACACCAGUGGCGAAGGCGACGAUCUGGCCUGCAACUGACGCUCAGUCCCGAAAGCGUGGGGAGCAAAUAG
rnacentral:rRNA from 1 species